rnacentral:rRNA from 1 species
UACGGGGGGAGCAAGCGUUGUUCGGAUUUACUGGGCGUAAAGGGCGCGUAGGCGGGCGGUCCAGUCAGGGGUGAAAUCUUUCGGCUCAACCGGAAAAGUGCCCCUGAUACUGACCGCCUCGAGGGGUGUAGGGGCAUGCGGAACUUCCGGUGGAGCGGUGAAAUGCGUAGAUAUCGGAAGGAACGCCGGUGGCGAAAGCGGCGUGCUGGACACCUACUGACGCUG